AGGAAGUAAAAGUCGUAACAAGGUUUCCGUAGGUGAACCUGCGGAAGGAUCAUUAUUGAAUAAACUUUGAACAGGUUGUUGCUGGCCCUCCUUGGAGGGAUAUGUGCACGCCUUGUCAUAUUUAUUUUUCCAACUGUGCACAUUUUGUAGACCUGAUAUUUGAUGGAUUUAUUUUUCGAGUUGGGGACUGCUGUGCUUUCUCAAGUCGGCUUUCCCUUGUAUUUUUCAGGUCUAUGUCAUUUUACACAAACCUCCAAAGUCUGUUUAGAAUGUUGAAUCAGGUCAUUUUGUACCUAUAAAGUUAAAUAUACAACUUUCAGCAACGGAUCUCUUGGCUCUCGCAUCGAUGAAGAACGCAGCGAAAUGCGAUAAGUAAUGUGAAUUGCAGAAUUCAGUGAAUCAUCGAAUCUUUGAACGCAUCUUGCGCUCCUUGGUAUUCUGAGGAGCAUGCCUGUUUGAGUGUCAUCUAAAUUCUCAAACCACAUUGAAUUCUUUCAGUGUGGCUUGGAAGUGGGGGUUUAUUUUUGCAGGCUGGUUUUUACAUAAAAUGAAGUCUGCUCCCCUGAAAUGCAUUAGUGGUAUCUGAGCAGCGGGAACUACUACAGGUGUGAUAAUUUAUCUAUGCCCUUGGUAUGCUGCAUAAACGGAUUGUACUGCUUAUAACAAAACUUUAUUAUUUUGUUUUGGAGACCUCAAAUCAGGUAGGACUACCCGCUGAACUUAAGC
rnacentral:rRNA from 1 species